GGAAGGAUCAUUCACAACAAUUCAGCUAUGUCAACCGGGAUUUACUUGUAAAUCCCCACCCUAACAAUACGUUGCUGGUAUGUGCUAAUUCGCAUGCUGGACAUAAAACUACUACUAAUAACUAUUAAACCCUGAACGAUGAAUGCCUCGGUUCGGAUGUCGAUGAAGGACGCAGCAAAGUGCGAAAAGCACUAUGACAUGCAGAUUUCUGCGAUUAGUAGGUUUCUUAAUACAAACUGUACCAGACUUACCUCUGGUAGAUUUGUUUCAAAAUUGUAACUGACGUGAGGAAACUCGUAUAGUGUGCCGAACUUGCACAUUCUCAAUUUCGAAACGAACAGUCUAGUCAAUAAUUUUUGAAGCAUGACGGUUCGUGUCGUAUCAUUAAAUUUGAAACAAGUCAGACUACCCGCUGAAUUUAAGCAUAUUAUUAAGCCGGAGGAAAAGAAAAUAACAAUGAUUCCCUAAGUAAUGGCGAAUGAACAGGGAAAAGCUCGAGGUUGAACCUGCGAUUCUGCAGGGUUGUAACUUCAUGUAUGGGGCCUAUCUAGUAGUCGAUGUAACAACUUGGAAAAGUUGAUCACAGAGGGUGAAAAUCCCGUCUUUCAUUGACCCACCGGAAUAUGGUCUGUGCUAUACAGAGUCGCGCUCUCUGGGAUGUGAGCGUAAAUGGUGGUAAAUUUCACCAAAAGCUAAAUACAAUCCGAAACCGAUAGAUCACAAGUACCAUGAGGGAAAGGUGAAAAGAACUUUGAAAAGAAGGUUAAAAGUGCCUGAAAUCGUGCAGGUUGAACCGAAUGCAAUUGUAAUUCACGCAGUCAAUGCAUGCUUUGGUGUGUAUACUGUGUGAGUGGUUUGACGCAUUUAGCUCUUGAACAAUAUGCUGAUCACCGGGGCUUGCCUUGGUGUUUAGUGUGCAAUCGAGACUUAAUGCUAAGUUCGGCAUUGUCGUUUGGGCAGCCUUGUUGGGCGACGUCAUGGUCACUUACGUGUAUCAUUUCGUUGUUCGAUUUUGCUGUUUAAUCGCCCCUGCCGAAAUCAACCAUCCAUACUGUUGCAUCCGACCCGUCUUGAAACACGGACCAAGGAGUCUAAUGUAUGUGCAAGUACGUGGGAUUUAAUCCUAUGUGCGCAAUGAAAGUGUGCAUUAGAAUACUUUUAGUAUACUAAUCACCAAACUCGAUCUUCGGUGAAAUGUUUGAGUGAAAGCACAUGCAAUAGGACCCGAAAGAUGGUGAACUAUGCCUGAAUAGGGUGAAGUCAGGGGAAACUCUGAUGAAAGCUCGUAGCGAUACUGACGUGCAAAUCGUUCGUCAAAUUUGGGUAUAGGGGCGAAAGACUAAUCGAACCAUCUAGUAGCUGGUUCCUUC
rnacentral:misc_RNA from 1 species